AUGUUGCUAGGAAACUGCCUUUCAUUCUUUCUGCUGAGGUAUCAGAAUCAAGCCACGAGGGAAGCAGUGGAGCGCACAUCCCAAGCGUCGCGAUUCCACGGGAGCCUUACGAAGAGGUUUGGGUCAGAUUACCUGGAGAGACCUCAGAUAAGUUGGAAAAGGAUGAGGAAGGUCUGUACUUCAAUCUCCCAUGAACACGAGCAUUCAGGAUACGGGAGGAAGAAGGAGACAAAAAAGCCCAGUUACCCCGCGGGCCACUUGUAUAACAGCAACAAGAAAAGUUUCAGGCUGAAGGAAAGAGACCAAACAAGGUAGGCAUUUUGUAUUUAGCAAUAAAGAGGUCAUUUGGCCACUUUGCUUUCAACUGUAUUCUUUCCUUGAAGAUUUUCAGAAACAAAUCCGGUGAGAAUGGGGAGAGAAGGAAUUUAAAGAUGAGGAAGUGGAAGUCAUUAUUUUGAAGGUAAGGAGAUCAAGCAGCAAGCAGAGGGCAUGGGUUUGAGGAAGGGUCUAGAUGAAAUC
rnacentral:lncRNA from 1 species